UAACAAAGGUGAAAGUGGAUGGAAAUCGGAAAGGUUGAUCUUGAGCUAUAGCAAUUAAAUCCUACCACAAAAAGCCCCAGUUUACAAACUGCCAGACACCUGAUCAGA